CAGGCUUAACACAUGCAAGUCGAGUGGCAGCAUGGUCUUAGCUUGCUAAGGCCGAUGGCGACCGGCGCACGGGUGAGUAACACGUAUCCAACCUGCCGUCUACUCUUGGACAGCCUUCUGAAAGGAAGAUUAAUACAAGAUGGCAUCAUGAGUCCACAUGUUCACAUGAUUAAAGGUAUUCCGGUAGACGAUGGGGAUGCGUUCCAUUAGAUAGUAGGCGGGGUAACGGCCCACCUAGUCUUCGAUGGAUAGGGGUUCUGAGAGGAAGGUCCCCCACAUUGGAACUGAGACACGGUCCAAACUCCUACGGGAGGCAGCAGUGAGGAAUAUUGGUCAAUGGGCGCAGGCCUGAACCAGCCAAGUAGCGUGAAGGAUGACUGCCCUAUGGGUUGUAAACUUCUUUUAUAAAGGAAUAAAGUCGGGUAUGCAUACCCGUUUGCAUGUACUUUAUGAAUAAGGAUCGGCUAACUCCGUGCCAGCAGCCGCGGUAAUACGGAGGAUCCGAGCGUUAUCCGGAUUUAUUGGGUUUAAAGGGAGCGUAGAUGGAUGUUUAAGUCAGUUGUGAAAGUUUGCGGCUCAACCGUAAAAUUGCAGUUGAUACUGGAUAUCUUGAGUGCAGUUGAGGCAGGCGGAAUUCGUGGUGUAGCGGUGAAAUGCUUAGAUAUCACGAAGAACUCCGAUUGCGAAGGCAGCCUGCUAAGCUGCAACUGACAUUGAGGCUCGAAAGUGUGGGUAUCAAACAGGAUUAGAUACCCUGGUAGUCCACACGGUAAACGAUGAAUACUCGCUGUUUGCGAUAUACAGCAAGCGGCCAAGCGAAAGCGUUAAGUAUUCCACCUGGGGAGUACGCCGGCAACGGUGAAACUCAAAGGAAUUGACGGGGGCCCGCACAAGCGGAGGAACAUGUGGUUUAAUUCGAUGAUACGCGAGGAACCUUACCCGGGCUUAAAUUGCAGAUGAAUUACGGUGAAAGCCGUAAGCCGCAAGGCAUCUGUGAAGGUGCUGCAUGGUUGUCGUCAGCUCGUGCCGUGAGGUGUCGGCUUAAGUGCCAUAACGAGCGCAACCCUUGUUGUCAGUUACUAACAGGUUCCGCUGAGGACUCUGACAAGACUGCCAUCGUAAGAUGUGAGGAAGGUGGGGAUGACGUCAAAUCAGCACGGCCCUUACGUCCGGGGCUACACACGUGUUACAAUGGGGGGUACAGAGGGCCGCUACCACGCGAGUGGAUGCCAAUCCCAAAAACCUCUCUCAGUUCGGACUGGAGUCUGCAACCCGACUCCACGAAGCUGGAUUCGCUAGUAAUCGCGCAUCAGCCACGGCGCGGUGAAUACGUUCCCGGGCCUUGUACACACCGCCCGUCAAGCCAUGGGAGCCGGGGGGUACCUGAAGUGCGUAACCGCGAGGAGCGCCCUAGGGUAAAACUGAUGA
rnacentral:rRNA from 1 species